UACAGAGGUCUCAAGCGUUCGUUCGGAUUCAUUGGGCGUAAAGGGUGCGUAGGUGGCGCCGUAAAGUCGGGGUGUGAAAUUUCGGAGCUUAACUCCGAAACUGGCAUUCGAUACUGCGGUGCUUGAGGAACUGGAGAGGAGACUGGAAUUUAUGGUGUAGCAGUGAAAUGCGUAGAUAUCAAGUAGAACACCAGUGGCGAAGGCGAGUCCCGUGGAAAACUCCUGACACUGAGGCACGAAAGCUAGGGGAGCAAACAGG
rnacentral:rRNA from 1 species